CGGCCUAUCAGGUAGUAGUGGGUGUAAUGUACCUACUAGCCAACAACGGGUACGGGUUGUGAGAGCAAGAGCCCGGAGAUGGAUUCUGAGACAUGAAUCCAGGCCCUACGGGGCGCAGCAGGCGCGAAAACUUUACAAUGCGGGAAACCGUGAUAAGGGGACACCGAGUGCCAGCAUCAUACGCUGGCUGUCCAGGUGUGUAAAAUACACCUGUUAGCAAGGGCCGGGCAAGACCGGUGCCAGCCGCCGCGGUAACACCGGCGGCCCGAGUGGUGAUCGUGAUUAUUGGGUCUAAAGGGUCCGUAGCCGGUUUGGUCAGUCCUCCGGGAAAUCUGAUAGCUCAACUAUUAGGCUUUCGGGGGAUACUGCCAGGCUUGGAACCGGGAGAGGUAAGAGGUACUACAGGGGUAGGAGUGAAAUCUUGUAAUCCCUGUGGGACCACCUGUGGCGAAGGCGUCUUACCAGAACGGGUUCGACGGUGAGGGACGAAAGCUGGGGGCACGAACCGGAUUAGAUACCCGGGUAGUCCUGGCCGUAAACGAUGUGGACUUGGUGUUGGGAUGGCUCCGAGCUGCCCCAGUGCCGA
rnacentral:rRNA from 1 species